AAUGAACGUUGGCGGCGUGGAUUAGGCAUGCAAGUCGAGCGAGAACCCAGCAAUGGGGGACAGCGGCGAAAGGGACAGUAAUGUGUAGAUUAUCUGCCCUCGGGUCCGGGAUAGCUGCGGGAAACUGCAGGUAAUACCGGAUAACAUCUCCGGAUCAAAGGUGUGAUUCCGCCCGAGGAUGAGUCUGCAUCCUAUUAGCUUGUUGGUGGGGUAAUGGCCUACCAAGGCUUUGAUGGGUAGCGGGUGUGAGAGCACGACCCGCGUCAUUGGGACUGAGACGCUGCCCAGACACCUACGGGUGGCUGCAGUCGAGAAUCUUCGGCAAUGGGCGCAAGCCUGACCGAGCGACGCCGCGUGUGGGAUGAAGGCCUGGUUGUAACCACUGACAGAGGGGAUGAAAUGCAGGU
rnacentral:rRNA from 1 species